rnacentral:lncRNA from 1 species
GAAUUGGUUAUAUUAUUUUACUUAAAAUUUUUCAACAGAUUGCUCCAUUAUUUAGGAUAAGGAUGUAUUUCGACAUGUUUUUGCUAUUAUUAUGUCCAACUAAAAAUUGAAGUCAAACUUCAUAAAUUUUGUGUCAGAUUCUCCAUAACUGAGUCACCGAUCCUUAGUAUUUCUCAAAUACUUAAGAAUAACCUAUCAGUGAUUCUCAUCC